UUCGCACGUGUACCGCACGCCUUUCCCUGGUCUCGGAUGAUCUAUUCCAUCGAUGGAUUAAGAACAAGGGAGAUUUGCCCUCGAGUUGGCUCGCCUGUUGCUCUCCGAUCGGCGCUUCCCACCAAACGAAGCGAUCAUGUCGUCCAAACAAGGUGGGAAGUUGAAGCCCUUGAAGCAGCCUAAAUCCGAAAAGAAGGAAUACGACAAGCUUAAUGGAAAUUGGCUAUUGAUAUCUUCGAUCUGUUUGCCUUUGGAGUUUAGUGGUAAUUCUUGUUUUCAAAGAAAUAAUUGGAUAGGUUUCAUGUGUGUCUUGAUGAACUUGGUUGUAACAAUUUUUCCUAGAGGAUUUGUUACUUUUUAGGCUUAAGGGGCACAGACAUAUCUUCACCAAAGCAGUGGCUCACUUUAUUUUCAGAUAUGCUUCCUUGGUUUCUUGGUGCCAGAAGUUUGCAUGCAAUUGUGCUGUUAUAGUAAUUUAUUAAUUGAGAUUUUUUACUCCUUUCUUUGGAUUAUCUUAGGCUCUUUGAAACUUGUGUAUCUUCACAUUGUAAAAACUCAAACUGAAUUCCGUAGAACCAUAUAGAUAUCCAACAUUAAUGAGAAGUAACCAUCUUGUGAAGCCAUCUCUUCAACAUGCUGACACGUCGGUGGAGAUGGAAAUAUAUAGCUUAAGUCUGUUAAUAUUAUACCAUAAACUUUGUAUACUGUUAGACUUUCUUAAAGAAUUUGCUUUAGACGUGCUAUUCAAUUGCCAAUUCAAUCAUAAGCUUCUAAAAUAAUGCAGUAUAGUUGUAAAGCAUUGUUGUUUCUUCUAAAACAUGUUUUCCUCGAUGUGAGAACUAGCCUUUCAAAAAUAUUUAAAGCACAACGCUGCCUAAUCUUAAAAUUGCCUCUGGUAUUAACAUAAUCAAACGCCUAAGCCCUAGAAAAUUGGACCCAUGGUUUCUUUGCAAUCUUUUACCAAACCAAAGGAGGAUACCUUGUUAUGUUCUUCCUCCCAUUUUCAUGCCUACUUCAGUUUUCUUCAACUUGUAAAAUGCAAAUAUGAUGUAUUAGUUGUCUAUUUUUUUAGGCUGUGGUAAAAUAUCUGCCUCUUGACUAAUGUGAUUGGACAGAUGACUCUUCUGUGUCCAAAUCUCAGGCUUACAUGCUAUAUACUUUUGAAUCUGCUUUCCUCAGAAUGUGUCUUGUUAAGCUCUUUGAUUUAGAUGAGCUCCUUUAAUCUUGAUUUCCUCUCUGCAAGCCAAUGAGGACUAAAGCUACUUUCUUUUGGAUGCUCUCACUUGUAUGACCUUUGUCUUGAUUUGGAUUCCUCCAUGCUUGCUCCCAAUUUGAGGGCUUGGAACUGCUGCAUGUUCUUUAACCUUUGUUUUAAUUUGCAUUCCUCCAUGCUUUCUCCCAUUUUGGGGGCUUGGAACUGCUACGUUUUCUUUAACCUACUAUCAAGGUCGGCUAUAACCAAAGAAUUUCUGGGUUCAAUUGGGAGAUGAGUUUAAUGAUGGAACACAGUCAGGGCAACUGGUGAAGAACGUUGCAUCCUUCCAUCAGUCCCUUUCCAAUGUUAUUUUCCUUUUCUGUGUUUAACUGUAGAAAGAACAUGAUUUACCUUGUGUAGAAUAUUAUACCAUGUUGAACAGUCUCCUGUAACAUAUGAAGCACAGAUGUUUUAUAUUGAUAUCAGUGAUUGUAUUUUAUUCUUUUUCUUUCUUCA